rnacentral:rRNA from 1 species
CCUACGUGGGGCAGCAGUGAGGAAUAUUGGUCAAUGGGCGCGAGCCUGAACCAGCCAAGUAGCGUGAAGGAUGACUGCCCUACGGGUUGUAAACUUCUUUUAUAAAGGAAUAAAGUGAGGCACGUGUGCCUUUUUGUAUGUACUUUAUGAAUAAGGAUCGGCUAACUCCGUGCCAGCAGCCGCGGUAAUACGGAGGAUCCGAGCGUUAUCCGGAUUUAUUGGGUUUAAAGGGAGCGGAGAUGGGUUGGUAAGUCAGUUGUGAAAGUUUGCGGCUCAACCGUAAAAUUGCAAUUGAUACUGGCAGUCUUGAGUACAGUUGAGGUAGGCGGAAUUCGUGGUGUAGCGGUGAAAUGCUUAGAUAUCACGAAGAACUCCGAUUGCGAAGGCAGCUUACUAAACUGCCACUGACAUUGAUGCUCGAAAGUGUGGGUAUCAAACAGGAUUAGAUACCCUAGUAGUC